rnacentral:rRNA from 1 species
AACGAGCGCUGGCGGCAUGCCUAACACAUGCAAGUCGAACGAGACCUUCGGGUCUAGUGGCGCACGGGUGCGUAACGCGUGGGAACCUGCCCUUAGGUUCGGAAUAACUCCCUGAAAGGGGUGCUAAUACCGGAUAAUGUCUUCGGACCAAAGAUUUAUCGCCUUUGGAUGGGCCCGCGUUGGAUUAGCUAGUUGGUAGGGUAAAAGCCUACCAAGGCGACGAUCCAUAGCUGGUCUGAGAGGAUGAUCAGCCACACUGGGACUGAGACACGGCCCAGACUCCUACGGGAGGCAGCAGUGGGGAAUAUUGGACAAUGGGCGAAAGCCUGAUCCAGCAAUGCCGCGUGAGUGAUGAAGGCCUUAGGGUUGUAAAGCUCUUUUACCCGGGAUGAUAAUGACAGUACCGGGAGAAUAAGCUCCGGCUAACUCCGUG